UGAGGACAAGAUCUGUGGGAAGCAGGGCCAGGUUGGGAGGUCCAGCUUCACCCUUAUGGUCCCCAUGGCCUCACCUAGACCCUUUCUUUCUGAGUCCUCUGAGUAUUGAAAGUCUGUGAAGAUCACUGCCAUCAUUUCCCUGUGUUGUUUCUCUGUUUCAUUUAUAGGGGGCAGCUGCACUGAAGGGCAAAAGAGGCUGACAGAAGUUGACAUCUGGAGUCACACAGGAAUUCUGAUGGAAAUGCAAGAGAGGCUCUGAACCCAGCACCAUGCCUGACUGGAUGCUGCCAUGCUUCCGGCUUAAUGGAAUAUGGCUUAAUGGAUAAUGGACUGAACCUCUGAACCUGUAAGUCAGCCCCAAUUAAAUGUUGUCCUAAGA